GGUCUCAGGUGAGUUGACACGUGUGCUGGGAUAGGUUUGCGCUGAAGAAUAAUUUUUGUGCUAGUUGAAUGCCUUCUUUGUUACAUCCUAAGCACGGGGCCCGGGCAUCCAUGUGGGCAGGGCAUAAAAACUUGAGUUAUUUAAUCUCCUGUAGGCACUGCCCCUAGAGGCGUUGCAGAUGUGGUGGUUGUGCCACAUUUGUGUCAUUAGGUGGCGGAGAGAAGAGAGGCUUGACUAUGUCCAGCGUUCUGGCCCGUGGACAUCUGGAUGAUUGAUAGUCUGACAUUUGACGGUGUGCUGACUGGGGGUGUGUGUUUACUGGCAGCCUGAAGCCUAUCGUGUAAAAGCACUUUAAUUCCCUCCUAGUUCUUGGCUGGUCCUGGAACACUAGGUUGCCAGUGUGUGACGGCAGCAGGGAGGAGGGACCCACUGGUGCAGUGAUGAGCAGGAAAGGUCCGUGGGCCCAGCUUGGUCCUGUGCGGCUGGUCAGUGGAAUAGACCUGCAGGUGUGGCUCUUGUCACUCUAGGACUGGCUUCAGGACAGAAGCCAGUUGCUCUGCUAAGGAGGCUUGACUGUGGUCCAGUCCAUGCAGCACCGGGAGGCGCGGCUAGUGGGUCAUCUCGGUUUUCUGUCUGCAGAUCGUGCUGACGAGCCCAGGGCGCCGUCCUCAGUUCUCCAGGAGAGAGCGCCUCACUCGGCACCGUGGCCACGCACAUCCAGUCUGCCGGCAAGGGCGGUGGGCAGCUGGGGGAAGUCAUGGCCUUGGCAAUGUCCUCUGAUGAAACAGAACCUGCGGGCUUACGGAAUAACGUGUGUGUGGAACGCUGGCGCGCUGAAAAGCAGUUCUGUGUGCUUCCCCCCUUGGCCUGGAUCAGCAGUGCUGAGGCAGCGGGCGUGACACAGAAGUGUGAGCAGAGACCGUCUGGAAUCCCGGACUCCAGGGAAACUAAAGGUGGCGGCCGGCCUAGUGAAGAGGACAGGGGGCGGGGGCGGCAGCCCAGCAGGC